UACAGAGGUCCCAAGCGUUGUUCGGAUUCACUGGGCGUAAAGGGUGCGUAGGUGGUCAGGUAAGUCUGAUGUGAAAGCUCUGGGCUCAACCCAGAAAUGGCAUUGGAUACUAUCUGGCUAGAGGAAUGGAGGGGGGACUGGAAUACUUGGUGUAGCAGUGAAAUGCGCAGAUAUCAGGAGGAACACCGGUGGCGAAGGCGGGUCUCUGGGCAGUAACUGACGCUGAGGAGCGAAAGCGUGGGGAGCGAACAGG
rnacentral:rRNA from 1 species